UUGUUCUUCUUCAUCGGUUAACCAUCUCAAUAUCCAUUAAAACUUUAGGAAAAUAAAAUUAAACCCGGACAAAGUUAACCAUCCUGUAGCCACAUAUAUAGCAAGAUGUCAAUGAGCCAAUUGCGUUAAUUGUUCACAAGGCUACCAUUUCUUUGUAACUUCAACUGGUGUUCAAUGCUGCAAAUGUUUUUCCAAUAAUUGUAGCUUCCUAUAAUGCAAGAAGUUUGUUAUAUAAAAAGUAAACUUUCUACGAAACGAAUACUUGGUCAAAAGACAAGUUACGAAGCAUAACUUACCCAUCAAUACUAUCAUAUCAGUAAACAAUCCUGAAACUUUUGCAUACAUAUUCACCAGCGAAAUAUAUUCCUUCACCAUGCAUCUUUGCACCGAACAGAUCAUGCAUUAUAAAAAGGGAAAUGGGAAGGAGUAUGAUAGAAGUAUUUCUUAAACUAUAGUAACAAAAAUCACAGAUUCAAAUACAUAUAUCAUAACAAAUGAAAUAUAUAUACAACUAGCUUACUUCAACAUCUCAUAUAUAUCUUGAGGAACUUAAUCAAAUCUUCUAAGACAUGAAUCCUGCCAGUAUCUAUAUCAAUAACAGUUGUAAGAGAAUAUGAAACAAAUUACUCUAUAGUACUUAAUGCAACUGAUAUUCAAUGGAGCAAAUGGUCUUGAAUUAUUGUAACUUCAUGUAAUUCAAGAAGCAUGUUAUAUAAAAGAUAAGUUUUCUCUUAAAAGAGUGUCUUGCCAAUAAAUGAGUUAAGAAAACUCACCCAUCGGUGCUAUCAUACCAACCCACCAAUCUCAAAACCUUUGCAUUGGUAUUAGAGCAUUUAAUCUUCGAUGGAUGUGCAUCACCUUGUCAUUACAACUAAAUAGAAUGUAAAGCACAAAGAAAAAAUGACUGAUAAAAUAAGAAUCAUGAUAAAUUUAGUUUAUCAAAAACUCAUAAUCUGAACACCAUAUCUUUUAGUAUAGAAAAUAAACACGAGUGCCGAAAGAUUAAGAAAACUCAACGGAACAAUUGCAGGCACCCAAAGGUAUUUCUAUUCUUCUUUCGCUGCUCAAUAAUAAUCUCACCCCCCCCCACCCCCCCCCCCAAUUUCCACACAUCCUAAGAAAAGUUAUGGGCAAUCAGUUUGUGAUGGUAUCUAAGAUGAACUCACAUGAUUUCCUGUUAUUAAAAUCUAACUAUCUGAAGCAAAAUUGAAGAGCAAAACACAUAGUAAAAAAAUCUAGGCUUUUAAAAGUACACACUCAAUUGUAAUCACGAACUCGAGAACAAUGGACCACACAAUAAUGAAUCACAAUUUAACCCAAAACCUGUAAUAAUAUACAGAUCCACAAGAAUAUUUAAACAAUUUCGGUUACAAAUUCUACAUCGAAAAAUAAACAAAAAAUACCGUAACAGAAAAUAAGAAAGAGCAUGACAAUUCUUUAUUUUUUGAAUUGCACCGACUUACUAUGUAGAGAAGAUGAUGAAGAAGGGGAAUUGAGCCUCCUGAAAGAUUUCGUGAGUUGGGGAGGGGGAGUUGAGCCCUUCUGAAACAUAUCGUGCCCUGUGAAAAAAUGAG
rnacentral:lncRNA from 1 species